UCCCAGGCCACUGGCUGUGCUCAGCGUGGCAUGGGCACUCACAACUACCAUCACUCCCUGACUUGUCACCUCCACCAGGGGGACACAGGCCCAUUUACUGCGGGACACAAGAACAAGGCUGCUCGUCAUCAUGUUGUCAAGAAGCCGAGCCACCAGAGCCGACUCCUGGUCCUGGGGCAGCACUGGGGAGCCCUGACUCUGGUGGCCCAAGCCUUUUCAUCAGCCUCCUAGCUGCUAAUUACGCCUGUGAGUUACCUCCCUUAACGGUGGGCCCGCCCGGCUGGUGCCUGCAACCCUGAAAUCUUGUACUUUGAUCUGAUUUUGCUUUGUUCUUGUCUAGUUCAAAAUGUACUUGCAGUUCUCCCUUCCUAGGAGUGACUCUCAGGCAGCCUGGCCCAAUUUUUAGGGAAGAAGGGGUGUCCAAAAGGCAGUGGCCAGGUAAAUGUUACUCAGAAUGACUACAGUGCUGGGUAAUAAGAGGGUCUCCAAAAACGUUUGAAAUUAUCUGAAGCUUUCAAUAUAUACAUGUUUAUGUGCAGGUCAUGGGGAGGAGUCUCUUAACCAAGCGAUAUUCUAAAAAGACAAUUCACAUGCAGCUGUCUUGUAUUCUUAAGGGUAAACGGGUGUGAUCAACAAUACGAUGAGCCUUGAAACCUUUGGAAAUGUGCUACAGUGGAAGACCCAUCUGUCCCACCACCCUGUCAAGCCGCUGUCUCCUGACUGUCUCUGGUUGCGCAGUCGUGGCUGCUCGGUGUCCUGAACCAAUUCAAAGCACUGACAUUUCAUGGUCAUUUUGAGUUGGGGGAAGAUCUAGAAGUCACACAGGGCCAAAUCUGGCGGUUAAGAUGGAUGAGGACCCAUUGGCGGGGUUUCGAAACCCCACAUUUCACUGGAAGGCAGCUUUUACUGUAUGUUUGAUCAACUCUUGUAAGACACUCAUGAAAGAAGCAUUUCAGAACGGCUCCAGAAAGCGCCCAGAAUAAUGGGAUAAGUAUGUUUGAUGGGAGAGAAAGGAAGCUUCACAGCACUUUAUACCAUGAUAAAUACUUCUUAUUAAACACUCACUGCAUACUUGAUCACACCUCCAUCCCUGGAAUUCUGCUAAGUCCCCUGGUAGUCAUACGUACCCAAAGAUACUGUCAUCAGGAUCGUCACCCUGGCCAUUUCUGACUCUUUGUGAUUGAGAUUUUUGCAGGCAGGGUGGCUGUCUUCCGGCCUUGGGGAAGGAGGGUUUCCUCUCCCACCUGAUGGUCAGCGGUACCCACCAGAGACCACGUAGCCUCUGCCACUGGCGUUCCUGACAGAGCCCACGUCUGGGGGCCACUGUGACUUGCUUGAGAGGUCCCUGUGCAGCUGUGCUGUGUUCACAGAGGAGAAGAAAGAGGGCCUGAGAGAUGUGGCCUGGCCAGCCUGCACAAGGAGGGAGCUGGAACCUGAUCCCAGCAUGACCCAUGGAGUUCCAGCCCAGCAUCGAGGCUCCCAUAGCUCACAGGUAGGAAGCUUAAUCCCUCAGGCAAUGGUGUGGGGUGGGGCCCAGCCCAGGGACCAGGAGAAGAGUGUUGGACCAGGACCAGAGCCGGCAUGGGCUUGCCUUGCCCUGGCCGCCACCCGUGAGCUCCUCCGUGACCUCCAGCUCUCUCCUGGCUCUCCUGCAGCCAAGUCCCUGCACCUCGUACCCUCCCUGUGACCCUCCAGCUUCCUUCCUGCUCAUAAUUAAGAAACCGUCACAUGAGCCUAUGCGUACACUCACACUGCAUCCGCCUUUUUUUUUUUUUUUCUUUAUGUAAACUAUUUUGGCCUAAUCCUUUUUUCCAAAAGGAAUGGCUAAUAUUUCGUGGGGAGAGAUAAGAUCUUGCUUUAAUACAGUUAGCUUCAAUUGACCUUGAA